AGAAUCAACGCUGGCGGCGUGCCUAACACAUGCAAGUCGCACGAGAAAGUGGAGCAAUCCACGAGUAAAGUGGCGCACGGGUGAGUAACACGUGAAUGAUCUACCUCCGAGUGGGGAAUAACUGAGAGAAAUCUUAGCUAAUACCGCAUAACACUUACGAGUCAAAGCAGCAAUGCGCUUGGAGAGGAGUUCGCGGCCGAUUAGCUAGUUGGCGGGGUAAUGGCCCACCAAGGCGAUGAUCGGUA
rnacentral:rRNA from 1 species